AGCGGAGAUAGUCCCUUCGGGGGUUAUUUUAGCGGCGGACGGGUGAGUAACACGUGGGUAACCUGCCUAUCACAGGGGAAUAACAAUGAGAAAUCAUUGCUAAAGCCCCAUAAGCUCCCGGCACCGCAUGGUGCAGCGAGAAAAUAUUUAUAGGUGAGAGAGGGGCCCGCGUCUGAUUAGCUAGUUGGUAGGGUAAAAGCCUACCAAGGCGACGAUCAGUAGCCGACCUGAGAGGGUGACCGGCCACAUUGGGACUGAGACACGGCCCAAACUCCUACGGGAGGCAGCAGUGGGGAAUAUUGCACAAUGGGGGAAACCCUGAUGCAGCAACGCCGCGUGAAGGAUGAAGGGUUUCGGCUCGUAAACUUCUUUAGGCAGGGAAGAAAGAAAUGACGGUACCUGCAGAAUAAGCACCGGCUAAAUACGUGCCAGCAGCCGCGGUAAUACGUAUGGUGCAAGCGUUAUCCGGAAUUACUGGGUGUAAAGGGUGAGUAGGCGGUGAGAUAAGUCAUAUGUGAAAGCCCCGGGCUUAACCCGGGGAUUGCAUAAGAAACUGUCUGACUAGAGUACAGGAGAGGUAAGCGGAAUUCCUAGUGUAGCGGUGAAAUGCGUAGAUAUUAGGAAGAACACCAGUGGCGAA
rnacentral:rRNA from 1 species